CGGGACGGGUGAGUAAUGUCUGGGAAACUGUCUGAUGGAGGGGGAUAACUACUGGAAACGGUAGCUAAUACCGCAUAACGUCGCAAGACCAAAGAGGGGGACCUUCGGGCCUCUUGCCAUCGGAUGUGCCCAGAUGGGAUUAGCUAGUAGGUGGGGUAACGGCUCACCUAGGCGACGAUCCCUAGCUGGUCUGAGAGGAUGACCAGCCACACUGGAACUGAGACACGGUCCAG
rnacentral:rRNA from 1 species